GAAGAACAAAGCCUGGAUGAACUGGAGCUGAUGUCAGGCUGUCAAGGCUGAAAUCUUCUUCAAAGACAGGGAUUUUAUCUACGUCUAUUGAGCUCCAUUCUCACUAACAAAAAUGCCAACUAAAGAAAAUAAGUGGCACAGCAAGAAGACAGCUGUCUGCAAGCCAAGAAGAAAGCCUUCACCAGAACCCAACCAUGCUGGCACCCCAAUCUUGAACUUACAGCCUCCAGAACUGUGAAUGUGCGUGCAUGCACGUGGAGAGGUAGUGACCAAUGACUAAAACCUGAGGUGCUAUAAGCCACACUACACCAGGAAGUCAUUCAGCUCCCAUGGAACAUCAAAUAGCCACUCUCUUUUCAGGAAAAGAAACACUUCAACUUGGAAAAGAGAGGCUCUCUGAUCGAUUAACUACAGCAUGCUUUUUUAUUUCAGCACUCCCACAUCUCCCAGUGCAUGUUUUAAUAUGAGCCAAAUCAAGUAGCCAUGACAAUAGCUUUGAAUGAGAAAAGACACCCCAAAAGCAGUGCACAGAUACAUGAGGAUGCCUGAAGGAGCUCAGAAUGGCUUAAGGAGUAGGGGGAAGAAAAACCGCAGAGAGGAGCUUUGACUCAUUGAGUCAUUGAGCAACUGUUCCGUGCCCUCUCAGGCUACCUCCCACAGCCACCGCCCAGCCAACAGCUAGCUGCACCCAGCCAAUCACUCACUCCACUCCCUGGAAAAAGCUCUGCAUUGGGAAGCCAGAAGAAUGUCACUAGCAAGAGAUUGAUUUCAAGGUAAUUAUUUAGGCAACUUUGUAGCAUCUCAUUCUCAGGCCUAAAAGUGUUCUCAAAGUUUGUUUUAAUA